AAAUUAUCACUAGUCUAUGGAAAGUUAUCAGCCAACUUAUCACUCUUUUUGAAUGUAUAAUAAUUUUCACUUGGUUCUAAUAGCCAAUCUUUAUGUAAAGAGAUUAGGAGAAUAUCCUGCAGUAGUAAAGAGCUCAGGAUCUGGAGCCCGAUUCCUGACUAAUUCUGAUUUCACCAGGUACAAACCUUAUCACCUUGCUGAAUAUCUCUCAUCCUGUUUUCUUCAUGUGUGUGGUUAGGGAUAAUACGAGGGGCUGUGUAAACUAAGGCUAAUUUGCGCCUGAUUGUAGGAAGGGCACAAUAACCACCUUCGAUAUGCUCUUCUUGUUUGCUUCUAAUUAAUUGUAUAAAUGUAAGACAAGCAAUCAACCAUAAGAGGGGAAAAUGCUCGAGUCAGCCGCUUCUGCAGACAUUUGUUAUAAACAAUGAUUCUUUUAGAAUGAGGAAGAUCACUUUUUAUAAGGAGCUCAAGAUUUUCUGGGUGAGAAAAAAUGGAAAUCUCACCCCCAGCUCCCUGGGAUUCUAAGUUAGGGUAGGCCGGCCAAACCCCAGCGACAGAGGAGAGAAACAACAGGUUAAGAAAAAUCAAGGAGUAGGCUGCUCUGAAGCCUCUGCCUCAAGACAAGGCCUGAUCUGGGAAGAGAACUAGUUUUUCUUCAGGCUUUGGCAAAGGAGGAAAGCCCCUCAGCUUUCACUUACCCUGGAACUACGCUGUGCUGGGCAGUACGACAGCCGAGAACACGAGGCUCCAUCAGUCAUGAGACAUGGCCGUGGCCUGGACAAGGACCUGAAUCAGCAGAGUUGUUGCUGGAACAGUAGACACAUUUCAUUGGUCUGACUCGGGGGGACCAGGCCUCAGUAAGAACACAUGGCCUGGUGACACAACGCAGCUGAGUAUAGAAUAGAUUCCAGAUGUGUCUGGAGAUCUGAAAGACAGCCUCUUCAGGGAGAAUAGAGCCUUGGGAGGUGAGUCACAAAAGUAGCUUCAAAAGAAGUGUCUGCUGAAUUGGCACCAUGAAUUUAUUUUACCUUCUCAUCUUUGUUGUCCUCUUUCUCUCUCAAGUAAUGCCAGGUUAUGGAUACGGUCCAAUGCAUCAUUUCUGUGACUCACACAUCAGUGUCUGCCUGAGGAGGAAAAGAAAUUGCAUUAUUCGUAUGCCAGGGAUGUGCCCUGGGAGGAGUUUCUGUUGUGUAAGAACGAAGUGAACUGAAGAAUCUAUGUUUAAUGUCUCUUCCCUGAAUUAAAUUGGAAGGAUGAGACCUCCUGGUAUCAUUUUGUUUCUUUGAAUCAUUUAUGUCUUCAAUACCUAUUGAGCACCUUCUCUGCACUACAUCCUGUACUGGUGGCUGGGGAUAUGGAUUCAAGUUUCUCCUGCUAAAGAAACUCACAGCCAUGGAAAUCUUAUCCAAGUUGGGCAGAUCAAGGAUGUCUUCUCAGUGAGGGCCAGAUAUGAGCUGAGUUGUAAAAAAAAAAAAAUAAGAAUUAGCCAGGGAAAAUUGAAGGAGAAGUUUAAUAAAUGUGUUUCAACGUGAAGAGAACAAAAUACGCAAGGGCACUAUGCCAGAAAUGUGCCUACCAUCAUGUUAGGGGGUAGUUUGAGAACCAAGAUGUGAUAAAAGAUGAAACUAGAUGAAGUAUGGCGCAUUGCCAGCGGAAUUUAGCCUCUAAAGAAAUUUCACGUUAUCU